UACGUAGGUGGCAAGCGUUGUCCGGAUUUACUGGGCGUAAAGAGCGCGCAGGCGGUCGUUCAAGUCGCGUGUGAAAGCCCCCGGCUCAACUGGGGAGGGUCACGCGAUACUGAUCGACUCGAAGGCAGGAGAGGGUAGUGGAAUUCCCGGUGUAGUGGUGAAAUGCGUAGAUAUCUGAAGGAACAUCAGUGGCGAAAGCGACUUCCUGGACCAAUACUGACGCUCAUGUGCGAAAGCGUGGGGAGCAAACAGG
rnacentral:rRNA from 1 species